UACAGAGGGUGCAAGCGUUAUCCGGAAUUAUUGGGCGUAAAGAGCUCGUAGGCGGUUUGUCGCGUCUGCCGUGAAAGUCCGGGGCUCAACUCCGGAUCUGCGGUGGGUACGGGCAGACUAGAGUGAUGUAGGGGAGACUGGAAUUCCUGGUGUAGCGGUGAAAUGCGUAGAUAUCAGGAGGAACACCGAUUGCGAAGGCAGCUCGCUGGGACGUUACUGACGCUGAGGCACGAAAGCGUGGGGAGCAAACAGG
rnacentral:rRNA from 1 species